rnacentral:rRNA from 1 species
UACGUAGGGUGCAAGCGUUGUCCGGAAUUAUUGGGCGUAAAGGGCUCGUAGGCGGUUCGUCGCGUCGGCUGUGAAAUCCCGAGGCUCAACCUCGGGUCUGCAGUCGAUACGGGCGGACUGGAGUUCGGCAGGGGAGACUGGAAUUCCUGGUGUAGCGGUGAAAUGCGCAGAUAUCAGGAGGAACACCGGUGGCGAAGGCGGGUCUCUGGGCCGAUACUGACGCUGAGGAGCGAAAGCGUGGGGAGCGAACAGG